AACCUUACCUGGGUUGGAACCCUCUGGAAGUCCGCAGAGACGUGGAUGUGCCCGCAAGGGAGGCAGGCCGGCCACGGUAGGGUCAGCGACUGGGGUG
rnacentral:rRNA from 1 species